UAAGAGAUCAUGCACAAUGAUUCUAAGUGC
rnacentral:piRNA from 1 species